GAGGGGAUUGAGUGUACCCUCAGUAAGUUUGCAGAUGACACCAAGUUGGAAGGUAGUGUGGAUCUGCCUGAGGGUAGGGAGGCCCUUCAGAGGGAUCUGGAUAGACUGGAUCACCGGGCUGAGGUGAAUAGGAUGAGGUCCAACAAGACCAGGUGCCGAGUCCUGUACUUUGGCCACAAUAAUCCCAUGCAGUGCUAUAGGCCUGGGGAUGAGUGGCUGGAUGACUGUGAAGAGGAAAGGGACCUGAGGGUAUUGGUUGAUACUCAGCUGAACAUGAACCUACAGUGUGGCCAGCUGGCGAGAGGGCCUACAACAACCUGUCCUGCAUUAGAAACAGUGUGGCCAGCCGGAGCAGGGAGGUAAUCAUCCCCCUGUACUCAGCACUGGUGCGGCGAC
ensembl:lncRNA